GGUACCAUGGUUUUGAAGCUGCUCAGAAGUACAUGGAGAGGGUCCCGACACCUUCAUAGCGGUGUAGCUGCGGCCUAAGUGAGUCGCCGGCCGGUCUCACUCUAACAUGAGUGGUGGAGUCUCUCAAGGUAUACGUUGCCUAUCAAUACGGACAAAAAAAUGAUAAUUAAGAUCUUUAUUUGCCCGUUACUUUUAAGUUGUAAAUAGUGACAUGCUAAUAUAUUUGCCCAUCCCUUUUAACAUGUCAAAGUGACGGUCUAAGAUCUUACCCGUCACUAAUGUGGAUUCAAAGAAAAAAACUUAGGGCCUGUUUGGGAAGGGGGUGUUAAAGUUUAACAGGGUGUUUUAACACCCUCAAAUGAGGUGUUAAACUUUAGUAUCUUGAGGUGUUUGGAUGAUCUGUUAAACUUUAACACCUUAGGUUGUAAUUGACAACUUUGCCCCUCAUUACUCCUCUCAAUGGCAGCCAAAUACCCCUCUGGCUUUGCCUAAUCUGCAAAAAUUAUCGAGGACUGCUCCUGCUCGGUCCACGCCAUUGCUCCCUGGCCGGCCCCUCCCUCUGCUCGGUCCACACCGCGCUCGACGUCGGCGCCGGCGCUGCCGGCCGCACCGUCGGCCCCUCCCCUGCGCCUGCCGCCUCCGGCCCUGCCCCGCCGCCGGCGUCCCCUACCGCGGCGCCAGCGGCCGCGCCCGCCCGAGCCUCCACCGCCACCACCGCGCCGCCCGCCGGUCCCCACACCACCGGAGCGGCCUCGUCGAAGGAGCAGGAGUGCGCGCCUGCCGCGGAGGAGCCUCGGGGGCGCUAGCUCGUGCAGAUCGAGGCCGGCGGCCUCGCCCGCGCCCUCGACAACCCGCCGGCCUCCAAGGCCGCCGUCGAGUCCAUGCCCGUCCCCGGAUCCGCAGCAGCAGCCUCCGGAUCCGCAGCCCGUCCCUGGGCCCUGCGCCCGUGAUGAGGUACGCCAGCCUCGGCGGCGGCUCGGGCGGCCUCCGGUGCCGCCGCCGCCGCUGCUACCCCGACGCCGAGGACGACACGGGUGACGGCGAGGAGCGCGCCGCGCCGAGCGUCGCGUAGAGGAUGGGGAGCGAGAGGAGCGGGAGCGCGAGGAGCAGAGCGCGCAUCCACCGGAGGCGGUGCGCCGGCGGCUGCUUCCUCAUGGGUCCGUGUCGGGCCGCGCCUCGCCCCGGGGUCUAGAGCUCCCGCGGCAUUCGCUCGGGGGCGCGGCGGUUGCUCGGGUGGCGCGGCGGAGGAGGGGGGAGGGCGACGCGUCGGAUCCGGCCAGGCGGAGAGGAUGAGCAGGAGGAGGAGGCCGGCAUUGGUGGUGGGGAGGAAAGAGAGGAGAGGAGAGAGAGGAGAGGAGAGAGGGGGCAACCAGGGAAAAGAGAGGGAGGGGGACCACUUUUAACACCUUUAGCACAUUUUAACACCCUCUCCAUGUGUUUAUGAAAAGAGAGGUUAAAUUUUAACACCACUCUUUUAACACAGGUGUUUGGGAGCCAAGAUGUUAAAAAUGUGUUAAAGGGGGUGUUAAACUUUAACACCCUUUCCCAAACAGGUCCUUAAAAUGUAGCUAUUUUCGUUCAUAUACAAAUUUU
rnacentral:lncRNA from 1 species